GGCAAGAUGGCCGAGCGGUCCAAGGCGUGUGACUCAAGCGAAAGCUUGCCUGCUAAGCGGGUCUUCUCAUCUGAGUAUUCAGGCACGGGUUCGAAUCCCGUUCUUGUCA
rnacentral:tRNA from 1 species